rnacentral:lncRNA from 1 species
UUCUGUAUUUUUAUUUUGAUCAUUAUUAGAAGUUUGGUCUACUUGAUUACCAGCAUUGGUAGGAGAGUCAGAAGAUUGAACAGUAGGGGGGUUAAGGGUCCUGAAGGCUGAGAAGAAGAAUUUUUAUUGCUUGGACAGUUACUAGCAAUGUGAUUUAUUUGUUUACAGAUAUAGCAUGUCAUACUAUCCUGCGAAAUGAAUAUUCUAUAAUUAGUAUUAUCAUAAUUUAGAAGAAUUGAAUCUGGGAUCGUCGUGUUAUGCGGAUUAAUAAACACUUGCCUUCUAAAACUUUUCAUAUGGCUAUAUUCUGGAAGAGAGGCACUGAUCUUUAGGAAAGUGAUUGGAGAAACUAAGUUUAGGCCGAGAUGUUUUAAUUCUUGGAUGAUUACUUCGUGUGGGAUACUUGGACAAACA